AAGAUUUUCUCCCUAAAAUCAUGCUGCAGAAUUUGAUUUUUACUGGAAAAAAUCAACGGCUAAUAGUAAUUGUAAUGGACGGCUAAGAUUGAAAGUUAUGACCCGUUAUUUUUAAAUCCGGGUCAAAAGGAUCUGCGCGUUUCUAAACUGGUUUUUUUCAUGACAUAAAAAUUUUAAUUCAAUGGCAAACUUGUUAUUUCUGCGAACUUCAUGCCCACCUCAUUAAGUAUACGUCUCAAAUAAUAGAGUAGAUUAAAGUAGAUAAAAUUUAAAAAUCUAAAUGAUUACUAGAGAGUUUUGUAUAAUUUCUAUGAUUAGCUUUUCUAUAAUCUUAUGAAACUGUCUAAAUUAUAAACUUUGAUAGUAUCUCC
rnacentral:sRNA from 1 species